UAUCGGGACAGAGUGACAGGUGCUGCAUGGCUGUCGUCAGCUCGUGUCGUGAGAUGUUGGGUUAAGUCCCGCAACGAGCGCAACCCUUGUCUCUAGUUGCCAAUAUUAGGUUAGGCACUCUAGAGAGACCGCCUCGGUUAACGGGGAGGAAGGUGGGGAUGACGUCAAGUCCUCAUGGCCUUUAUACCCAGGGCUACACACGUGCUACAAUGGGCGGUACAAAGGGCUGCAACACCGCGAGGUGAAGCUAAUCCCAAAAAACCGUUCUCAGUUCGGAUUGAAGUCUGCAACUCGACUUCAUGAAGUUGGAAUCGCUAGUAAUCGUGGAUCAGCAUGCCACGGUGAAUACGUUCCCGGGCCUUGUACACACCGCCCGUCACACCACGAAAGUUGAUUGUACCAGAAGUUGCCGGGCUAACCACGUUUCGGCGUGGAUGCAGGCACCUAAGGUACGGUUGAUGAUUGGGGUGAAGUCGUAACAAGGUAGCCGUAGGGGAACC
rnacentral:rRNA from 1 species